UCCCUGGUGGCUUAGCAGCUAAAGUAUCUGUCUGGAAUGCGGGAGACCUGGGUUCGAUCCCUGGGUAAGGAA
rnacentral:tRNA from 1 species